rnacentral:rRNA from 1 species
AUUGAACGCUGGCGGCAUGCUUUACACAUGCAAGUCGAACGGUAACAGGCCGCAAGGUGCUGACGAGUGGCGAACGGGUGAGUAAUGCAUCGGAACGUGCCCAGUCGUGGGGGAUAACGCAGCGAAAGCUGCGCUAAUACCGCAUACGAUCUAUGGAUGAAAGCGGGGGACCGUAAGGCCUCGCGCGAUUGGAGCGGCCGAUGUCAGAUUAGGUAGUUGGUGGGGUAAAGGCUCACCAAGCCAACGAUCUGUAGCUGGUCUGAGAGGACGACCAGCCACACUGGGACUGAGACACGGCCCAGACUCCUACGGGAGGCAGCAGUGGGGAAUUUUGGACAAUGGGCGCAAGCCUGAUCCAGCAAUGCCGCGUGCAGGAAGAAGGCCUUCGGGUUGUAAACUGCUUUUGUACGGAACGAAACGGUCCUGGUUAAUACCCGGGGCUAAUGACGGUACCGUAAGAAUAAGCACCGGCUAACUACGUGCCAGCAGCCGCCGUAACAC